GGUGAACGCUGGCGGCGUGCUUAAGACAUGCAAGUCGAACGGCAGUCUUCGGACUGUAGUGGCGCACGGGUGAGUAACGCGUAACUGACCUACCCCAAAGUCGCGGAUAACGAUUCGAAAGAAUCGCUAAUACGUGAUGUGCUGUCAGCUUGUGUUCUUCAAGUAAAGACUGAUUGCUUUGUGAUGGGGUUGCGUUCCAUCAGCUAGUUGGUGGGGUAAAGGCCCACCAAGGCGACGACGGAUAGCCGGCCUGAGAGGGUGGCCGGCCACAGUGGCACUGAGACACGGGUCCCACUCCUACGGGAGGCAGCAGUUAGGAAUCUUCCACAAUGGGCGAAAGCCUGAUGGAGCGACGCCGCGUGAGGGAUGAAGGUCUUCGGAUCGUAAACCUCUGAAUCAGGGACGAAAAACACGUUAUGUGGGAUGACGGUACCUGAGUAAUAGCACCGGCUAACUCCGUGCCAGCAGCCGCGGUAACUC
rnacentral:rRNA from 1 species